CUCCUCCCCCUAUUUUCGGCAGACACCCUCUCUCUUUCUAAUUCCUUAUCUUUUUCUCUCUAUAUCUCUAUAUCUAUACAUAACUCUUGUUCUUCAUAGACUAAAGCUUUGAUUUAUAGAGUUUAAGGUGGGAUUUUGAGGGAAAGGAAGAAGGGAAGUUGAAGAGCUUGGCAUGAGCUUCAAAUUGAGGCCAAUAUUGCUAGGGUUUUGAAGGAUUGAAAAUUUGGGGCUUGCUAAGGGUUUGUUUGGCUAAUCAUCUUGAGGAAUGCGGAGACGAGCUGGUAAAUGAUGUAUAUCCAUGGACAUUGAUGUAACUAGGAAUCCAUUUCAUUUUAUACAUAUUAAAGCUAUGUAAAUUUUGGCCAUGGAGGCCUCAUUCCUUGUAUUUUAUUCUUUGGAAGUUGUAUAAACUGAGAUUUUGUAUAACUCAAUCUUUAAAUGAUGUAAUGGGCUUGUAUCCGAUUUAUUUGAAUGUAUGAGAGUUUAAUUAUGUUUUAUA